AGAGUUUGAUCAUGGCUCAGAUUGAACGCUGGCGGCAGGCCUAACACAUGCAAGUCGAGCGGUAGCACAGAGAGCUUGCUCUCGGGUGACGAGCGGCGGACGGGUGAGUAAUGUCUGGGAAACUGCCUGAUGGAGGGGGAUAACUACUGGAAACGGUAGCUAAUACCGCAUAAUGUCGCAAGACCAAAGUGGGGGACCUUCGGGCCUCAUGCCAUCAGAUGUGCCCAGAUGGGAUUAGCUAGUAGGUGGGGUAACGGCUCACCUAGGCGACGAUCCCUAGCUGGUCUGAGAGGAUGACCAGCCACACUGGAACUGAGACACGGUCCAGACUCCUACGGGAGGCAGCAGUGGGGAAUAUUGCACAAUGGGCGCAAGCCUGAUGCAGCCAUGCCGCGUGUGUGAAGAAGGCCUUCGGGUUGUAAAGCACUUUCAGCGGGGAGGAAGGCGUUGAGGUUAAUAACCUUGGCGAUUGACGUUACCCGCAGAAGAAGCACCGGCUAACUCCGUGCCAGCAGCCGCGGUAAUACGGAGGGUGCAAGCGUUAAUCGGAAUUACUGGGCGUAAAGCGCACGCAGGCGGUCUGUCAAGUCGGAUGUGAAAUCCCCGGGCUCAACCUGGGAACUGCAUUCGAAACUGGCAGGCUAGAGUCUUGUAGAGGGGGGUAGAAUUCCAGGUGUAGCGGUGAAAUGCGUAGAGAUCUGGAGGAAUACCGGUGGCGAAGGCGGCCCCCUGGACAAAGACUGACGCUCAGGUGCGAAAGCGUGGGGAGCAAACAGGAUUAGAUACCCUGGUAGUCCACGCCGUAAACGAUGUCGAUUUGGAGGUUGUGCCCUUGAGGCGUGGCUUCCGGAGCUAACGCGUUAAAUCGACCGCCUGGGGAGUACGGCCGCAAGGUUAAAACUCAAAUGAAUUGACGGGGGCCCGCACAAGCGGUGGAGCAUGUGGUUUAAUUCGAUGCAACGCGAAGAACCUUACCUGGUCUUGACAUCCACAGAACUUUCCAGAGAUGGAUUGGUGCCUUCGGGAACUGUGAGACAGGUGCUGCAUGGCUGUCGUCAGCUCGUGUUGUGAAAUGUUGGGUUAAGUCCCGCAACGAGCGCAACCCUUAUCCUUUGUUGCCAGCGGUUAGGCCGGGAACUCAAAGGAGACUGCCAGUGAUAAACUGGAGGAAGGUGGGGAUGACGUCAAGUCAUCAUGGCCCUUACGACCAGGGCUACACACGUGCUACAAUGGCAUAUACAAAGAGAAGCGACCUCGCGAGAGCAAGCGGACCUCAUAAAGUAUGUCGUAGUCCGGAUUGGAGUCUGCAACUCGACUCCAUGAAGUCGGAAUCGCUAGUAAUCGUAGAUCAGAAUGCUACGGUGAAUACGUUCCCGGGCCUUGUACACACCGCCCGUCACACCAUGGGAGUGGGUUGCAAAAGAAGUAGGUAGCUUAACCUUCGGGAGGGCGCUUACCACUUUGUGAUUCAUGACUGGGGUGAAGUCGUAACAAGGUAACCGUAGGGGAACCUGCGGUUG
rnacentral:rRNA from 1 species